rnacentral:lncRNA from 1 species
AUGUCCCCCAGGCCUCACAAGACUUGUCUGAAUGUCCCCCAGGCCUCACAAGACUUGUCUGAAUGUCCCCCGGUACCAGUUGUUGUCCCUCCUGGAAGCCCACAGGCCUCACAAGACUUGUCUGAAUGUCCCCCGGUACCAGUUGUUGUUCCUCUUGGACGACCACAGGCCUCACAAGACUCAUCUGAAUGUCCCACAGGCCUCACAAGACUCAUCUGAAUGUCCCCCCGGUACCAGUUGAUUAAAAUGAAUGGAAGUGUAUAUAGAGCCUGUUUAGUGACAAAAAAUAAGGGGUUAAGAACAUGUUUAAAAAAUACUAAAACCUUUAAAAAUAAAUCUUGAUCUUUCUUAUAUCUCUCAGAAAUAGGGCAUACACUUCAGAACAAACUUCCUUUAGGGGGUCUAUCUGUUGUUCCAUUAGUGAAUCUGUUAUGCAAUGCGUUUGUAUGGGCUAUUAUGGGCUAUUAGCAGUAAUGUUCAAAGUAAUUUUUUUAUCAAUUCAUUUUUUCAUAUAUUUUAUGUUGGGGGGGGGGGGGGGGGGGGGUACUUAAAGGUGUCUUAAAAUUCCAAAUCAAAUAUCUAAAUAGCCCUUGGUAUGAUGACCUUCUUAAAACAAUUCCAUAUGUGUAUUAUAUAAUAUAGAUGAUGUACCGUUUAUAAUGAUUGGCUCUUAAAACAAUUCCAUAUGUUAGCUUAGUGGGCUUACUGUAUUAUAUAAUAUAGAUGAUGUACCGUUUAUAAUUAUUGGCUCUUAAAACAAUUCCAUAUGUUAGCGUAGUAGGCCUACUGUAUUAUAUAAUAUAGAUGGUGUACCGUUUAUUAUGAUUGGCUCUUAAAACAAUUCCAUAUGUUAGCUCAGUAGGCUUACUGUAUUAUAUAAUAUAGAUGAUGUACCGUUUAUAAUGAUUGGCUCCUAAAACAAUUCCAUAUGUUAGCGUAGUAGGCCUACUGUAUUAUAUAAUAUAGAUGAUAUACCGUUUAUAAUGAUUGGCUCUUAAAAUAAUUCCAUAUGUUAGCUUAGUAGGCUUACUGUAUUAUAUAAUAUAGAUGAUAUACCGUUUAUAAUGAUUGGCUCUUAAAAUAAUUCCAUAUGUUAGCGUAGUAGGCCUACUGUAUUAUAUAAUAUAG